GGCAGGUACGCGACGCGCGUGGUGCCGGGGUACCGCACCCCCGGGUUCGGGUGUUCCACCUGCACCGGGGCACGGACAGGGAAGGGACAGGGACACAGGUGUCAGUGACUGACAGGGGCACAGGUGUCAGUGACAGGGGCACAGGUGUCAGUGACUGACAGGGGUACAGGUGUCAGUCACAGGGGCACAGGUGUCAGUCACAGGGGUACAGGUGUCAGUCACAGGGGCACAGGUGUCAGUGACUGACAGGGGCACAGGUGUCAGUGACUGACAGGGGUACAGGUGUCAGUGACUGACAGGGGUACAGGUGCCAGUGACUGACAGGGGCACAGGUGUCAGUGACAGGGGUACAGGUGUCAGUGACUGACAGGGGUACAGGUGUCAGUGACUGACAGGGGCACAGGUGUCAGUGACUGACAGGGGCACAGGUGUCAGUGACUGACAGGGGCACAGGUGUCAGUGACUGACAGGGGUACAGGUGUCAGUCACAGGGGUACAGGUGUCAGUCACAGGGGCACAGGUGUCAGUGACUGACAGGGGCACAGGUGUCAGUGACUGACAGGGGCACAGGUGCCAGUGACUGACAGGG